rnacentral:pre_miRNA from 1 species
CUAGUCUGCUAGUCUGGACUGAUAUGGUUAGCUUUUUUAUUUUUUUGAGAUGGAGUCUGGCUCCGUUGCCCAGGCUGGUGUACAGUGGC